rnacentral:rRNA from 1 species
AUUGAACGCUGGCGGCAGGCCUAACACAUGCAAGUCGAACGGUAACAGGAAGCAGCUUGCUGCUUCGCUGACGAGUGGCGGACGGGUGAGUAAUGUCUGGGAAACUGCCUGAUGGAGGGGGAUAACUACUGGAAACGGUAGCUAAUACCGCAUAACGUCGCAAGACCAAAGAGGGGGACCUUAGGGCCUCUUGCCAUCGGAUGUGCCCAGAUGGGAUUAGCUAGUAGGUGGGGUAACGGCUCACCUAGGCGACGAUCCCUAGCUGGUCUGAGAGGAUGACCAGCCACACUGGAACUGAGACACGGUCCAGACUCCUACGGGAGGCAGCAGUGGGGAAUAUUGCACAAUGGGCGCAAGCCUGAUGCAGCCAUGCCGCGUGUAUGAAGAAGGCCUUCGGGUUGUAAAGUACUUUCAGCGGGGAGGAAGGGAGUAAAGUUAAUACCUUUGCUCAUUGACGUUACCCGCAGAAGAAGCGCGGGCUAACUCCGUG